rnacentral:rRNA from 1 species
GGGAUUCCCCUAGUAACUGCGAGUGAAGCGGGAAAAGCUCAAAUUUAAAAUCUGGUGGUCUUUGGCCAUCCGAGUUGUAAUUUAGAGAAGCGUCUUCCGCGCUGGGCCGUGCACAAGUCUCCUGGAAUGGAGCGUCAUAGAGGGUGAGAAUCCCGUCUUUGGCACGGACCCCCAGUGCUUCUGUGAUGCGCUCUCGACGAGUCGAGUUGUUUGGGAAUGCAGCUCAGAAUGGGUGGUGAACUCCAUCUAAAGCUAAAUAUUGGCGAGAGACCGAUAGCGAACAAGUACCGUGAGGGAAAGAUGAAAAGCACUUUGGAAAGAGAGUGAAACAGUACGUGAAAUUGUUGAAAGGGAAACGCUUGAAGUCAGUCGCGUCGACCGAGACUCAGCCUUGCCUCGGCUUGGUGUACUUCUCGGUUUGACGGGUCAGCAUCAAUUUUGACCCUCGGAUAAUGGCAAGGGAAAGGUAGCACCUUUUUAGGUGUGUUAUAGUCCUCUGUCGCAUGCGAGGGUUGAGAUUGAGGAACUCAGCAUGCACCUUCGGGUGUCGGGGCCUUGGCCCACGUUACGUGCUUAGGAUGCUGGCAUAAUGGCUUUAAACGACCCGUCUUGAAACACGGACCAAGGAGUCUAACAUACCCGCGAGUGUUCGGGUGGAAAACCCGUGCGCGUAAUGAAAGUGAAAGUUGGGACCUCUGUCGUGGAGGGCACCGACGCCCGGACCAGACCUUCUGUGACGGCUCUGCGGUAGAGCGUGUAUGUUGGGACCCGAAAGAUGGUGAACUAUGCCUGGAUAGGGUGAAGCCAGAGGAAACUCUGGUGGAGGCUCGUAGCGAUUCUGACGUGCAAUCGAUCGUCAAUUGGG